rnacentral:antisense_RNA from 1 species
CUUGAUCGAGCCGAGCAGCAACGGCUCGCGACCGUCGCGGCCCUGACCGUAGGUGGCCAGCAACGCCUGCGCCUC